UACGGAGGGUGCAAGCGUUGUCCGGAUUCAUUGGGUUUAAAGGGUACGUAGGCGGCGUAUUAAGUCAGUGGUGAAAUCCUUCGGCUCAACCGAAGAACUGCCAUUGAAACUGGUAUGCUUGAGUAUGUCCGAGGUAGCUGGAAUGCGUAGUGUAGCGGUGAAAUGCAUAGAUAUUACGCAGAACACCAAUUGCGAAGGCAGGUUACUGGGACAAAACUGACGCUGAGGUACGAAAGCGUGGGGAGCGAACAGG
rnacentral:misc_RNA from 1 species